UAUCAAAAGUUUGCUACUCACUGCUCUGUUGUAUCAAAAGUCUGCUGCUCGCUUAAUGUAUCUACUAAAACCUCUAUGAAUAACUUUCAUCAGGACGCCUCAUUUUCUAAAAUAAAGCAGCUUCCAGAGUUUUUGUUAAAGAGACCCUCAGCAAGUGACCAGAGGAGCAGCCAUAGCAGGCCUGCAAGAUCUCUGUGCAUAAAUCUGCCUGGUUUGCAUGCCUAGAGAGUGAGCAGCUCCAAGAGGUCUGUUCUAGCCAUCCUUCCUCCCAGAGCAAACUGGAAUCCAGUUGAUGCGAACACUCACAGGAGUUAUUUGCACGGAAGCCACCCUGCUUAAGAAACAGAACAGGUGCUGGUGUCAACACAGAAAAUAUUGGCAUUGUGUUCCCCAGCAACUGUAUUGGCCACAUAUAAGAGCUGAUUGUUGUAUGGUCAAUGCCAACCUUUAUCUCAGUCCUGAGCUAUAAAUGAACCAGAAGCACCAUAAAGACUGAUGGCCAUUAAGUAAGCAAACAGUUAUUUGUUUUCUUGUCAUACCUCACAGCUGUUACAGAAGAUUUCUUUAUAACUCAGGAUCCCAGAAGUUAUACAAAAAAUACCGGUGUGGGUUGAUUGCUGUGCCUGUUCUCUUUGAGUGGAAGCACAGACCACUGCUGGAGUCCUGCGGCAGUGGCAUGAGAUUGGCAUUUCCAAGUUUGCUCGCUGCAAUGGCCAGCACAGACACCAAGGAAAAGAAAGUCUCAGUCCACAGCUGCAGAGUGACUUGCCAGUUUCACCUGUAUAAAAGGAUCACAUUUGACAGGCAGUGGAGAAGCAGAAAAGUACCAUGGUACUGCUGCAGAAAGCUGUCCUACCUUCCCACAGGUGGAGCAUGACAGCAAAGAGU